rnacentral:tRNA from 1 species
GGUCCGAUGGUGUAGUGGUUAUCACGUCUGCUUUACACGCAGAAGGUCCCCGGUUCGAACCCGGGUCGG